GUGUCCACAGUACACGGAUGCCCCACUCGCACUAUCAUUUUCUAUGUUUAGUGGACCAUGAAAUUGGAAUAAAUUCUCUAAUUUGGCAUUAAAAUUAGAAUGAUCUUAUCAAAGGGAACAUGUAUACUAAGUUUCAAGUUGAUUGGACUUCUACUUUAUCAAAAACUACCUUGACCAAAAACUUUAACCUGAAAUUUGCACUAUCAUUUUCUAUGUUCAGUGAACCGUAAAAUUGGGGUCAAAACUCUAA
rnacentral:lncRNA from 1 species